AAGCAAAGAAAACCAUACGGUGCAAAAAUAAUUCCAUAAAACUAGAGCAAAUAUAACAACGUUGUUUUUCCUAUGUUGUGAUAUUUGGUCUGGUUUUAUGGAAUUGCUUUUGCACUGUAUGGUUUUCUUUGCU